CCGGUGGACAAACCGGAGGAAGGUGGGGAUGACGUCAAGUCAUCAUGGCCCUUACGGCCUGGGCUACACACGUGCUACAAUGGUCGGUACAAAGGGUUGCCAAGCCGGCGAGGUGGAGCUAAUCCCAUAAACCGAUCGUAGUCCGGAUCGCAGUCUGCAACUCGACUGCGUGAAGUCGGAAUCGCUAGUAAUCGUGAAUCAGAAUGUCACGGUGAAUACGUUCCCGGGCCUU
rnacentral:rRNA from 1 species